AAAGUACUCCCUCCGUCCCAAAAUUCUUGUCUUAGAUUUGUCUAGAUACGGAUGUAUCAUGUCACAUUUUAGUAUUAGAUACAUCCGUAUCUAGACAAAUCUAAGACAAGAAAUUUGGAACAGAGGGAGUAGUUG
rnacentral:pre_miRNA from 1 species